rnacentral:misc_RNA from 1 species
UUAAUCUUACAAUUUCAGUUACAUUGUCCUUAAAUUGACUUGGUAAAGCCUAUUUUCUUGCUUCUAUUCAAUAUCUUUUACAGCAUCCUUAGCAAGCCUUGUCACAUAUGCUGCCGCUAUAGCUGUGGCCAACAAUCCCAGCCCAAGAGUCAACAGUGAAUUGUUCCCACCGGUUAAUCCAAUAUCAUCUUCUUGGAUUAUUGCACGGCCAAAUGCGCCAGCACUCACAUAUGCCCAUGUUCCUGGAAGCAUUCCCAACCAACUUCCCAGAACAUAUGGGACAAACUCAACAGAUGUCAAUCCAUACAAAUAAUUCCCCAGGGAAAAUGGAA